GUCCAAACAUGCCUUUUUCUAUGCAGGCUUUGUCUCCGUUAUCUGUGUUUAUCUUACAUUAGGACUGGAUCACAGCAACAGAAGGUAAUACACAGCCAGGCUAGAAAACUGAUCUCAAAUAAGGACAAUGGAGACACCGACCGUUUCAAGUCAUGGAUAAAAUCCAAGAUGCUGAUUUCAAUUCAAUAUGCCUUUGGGACCUGGUAUGAGCUACCAAAGAGCCUUCACUUGGUAACUCCCCAGCCUGGCUAUCCACAAUCCCAAAAGGACACGGAAACAGAGGAGCACAUACUCUGUUGAGUAUCCCAACCUGCCAGACCAGACUAACCUGCCCAAGCAGCUGAGCUGGUAAGAGGUAAAUGAGAGCAAGAUGGGGAAGAUGGCCCACAGCAGAACUGUAACAGUCAUGCAGGGGCAGAGGUAGAAACAACAGAUAAACCCAGGAUGCACGCAGCUGAUUGCAGCUGUGUCUGCCUGGAGUAUCUCUGCAAAACAGAUGUGCCCUUGCAAAAGUGAGGAUGAGUCCCAGAGGACCUGCCAGUGAAGCCUUGCAGAAACCAAGUCCCAAUGCUUCAGACCAGCCCUAUACUCACAAAUAACUUGUUCACACCUACAGAGGAAACUUCCACAACAAAAACCUUCUGGUCCUUAGCUCAGUGCUAUAAAUCCACAAACUUCCUUUUCUCAGUUACACCAGUGAAAUGUACUUUUUAAACUCUUGUCAUUAUUAUAAAGUACUUUUGUAAAAUGGCAGAUUACAUUUAAUACCUGCAUUUAACAAUACAAUCUGGGUUUGACACAGUGGCAGCACAACGGAAUAAAAUGCUACUCUGAAGAAGGGUAAUUCAGGCUUUAGCUUGUCUCCAAAGGUUCACUGCAGAAAACAUUCCUCAUCACAGCUACUGUAACAGACAGGGUGGAGAACCUAUGUUUUUUUUUCACUAAAGCCAUGAUGUGUAAAGCCUGAUGGUGCUUUAUCAGAGCCUGAGCCCAGCACGAAUUCUGCUUUGAUUAACGUUAACUCAUUUUUUUCACUGCAACACACACACUGAAUGAAGUCUUUGUGUUCAUACUCCAUCUCUACGAUUCUAUCAUUGUGAGAUAAUAUAGCAGUGGGAAUCUUCUGGGAUACCUGAUAAAAUAGUCUUCACCAAUAAAUAGAAAACUCACAGCAUAAAGUCUCAGCUUUAAAAUCUGAUGAGAAGUUUCACUGCAGGAUGGCAUCUCAGACAAAGUAUUACUAUAAAACAUUCUUCUCUAGUUUCCCUUCAGCCUCUACUUGCAUUUAUCCCGACUACUGCAAAAUACGAUCAAAAUUCUCAGCAAACAUCCAUAUAUUCACUUUUCCCUUCUUAGCUCUGCUUCUCCAAAGUGAGAAGCUCUUCUCUCCAGAGUGGAAAGCCAUGAGAGCCACUGGGCUGUGCACGUUUGAGGAGCAACAUGUGAAUGACAGGGAAGUGAAAUUAGCAAUAAGCCAAGCAAAAUGUAGGUUUGGGGCUGGAAAGGAAAUAAACAUGUUCAGAGCUCUGCCUUAAUCUCAAGAGGCCAUUCCUAUUCAGAAACAGAUGGAAGCAUGAGCACAAGCAUGAUUCUGAGCCUAUGUUCUCUCGUUUUACUUCGGACUGGAGUCAGAAUUUCCAAG